UUCACUACGAGCCCAUACAAUCUCCACCUCCACCACCAAUGGUACAACCACCUGCACCAGCCCCAUCAGGCCAUUACUAUAGUGCACCACCACCACCAAACCGUUACUCCAACGCCCCACCACCAAGCCAUUACCACAAUACACCACCCUCACCACCAAUGGAGCAACCACCUCGAACUCCAUCAGGCCAUUACUAUAAUAAUCCACCACCACCACCACAAUCACCAAACCAUUACUACAACAUACCUUCGCCACCACCACCAACAAAGAAUAUAUCACCAAGUACCCAUUAUGCACCACCUCCUCCCCCAUCUGUUCAUUAUGUUCCCACGCCUAGUCAUUCAUCUCCUCCACCGCCGCCACCUCAAGUUCAGUAUUUUCCACCUCCUUAUCCGUCAAGAGGGCAGCAAGCAAGUCCACCUCCACCACCAUCUCAUGAGCAUACGGGGACUCAAUCUCCACCUCCACCAGCAGAGUAUCAUCCACCUCCCAAGGAGUCAUGUCAUCCUAUCCCUCCUCCACCCCCACCAGAAUGCACAACUCCCGUAUCAGCACCACCACCGCCAAGCCAACAUUCAACCCCAUCACCAUAUGCACCAGCACCUGGUCAUCACUAUUCAAAACCAUCCCCAC
rnacentral:lncRNA from 1 species